rnacentral:rRNA from 1 species
GGGGGGGGGCAAGCGUUGUUCGGAAUUACUGGGCGUAAAGGGCGUGUAGGCGGCCCUGCAAGUCUUUCGUGAAAUCCCACAGCUCAACUGUGGAACUGCGAGGGAAACUGCAGGACUUGAGUCCGGGAGAGGAGAGUGGAAUUCCCAGUGUAGCGGUGAAAUGCGUAGAUAUUGGGAGGAACACCGGUGGCGAAGGCGGCUCUCUGGACCGGCACUGACGCUGAGGCGCGAAAGCUAGGGGAGCAAACGGGAUUAGAUACCCCGGUAGUCCUAGCCUUAAACGAUGAGCACUUGGUGUGGCGGGUAUCGACCCCUGCCGUGCCGAAGCUAACGCAUUAAGUGCUCCGCCUGGGGAGUACGGUCGCAAAGGCUG